GAACGCAUAUUGCGCUCCUUGGUAUUCCUCGGAGCAUGCCUGUUUGAGUAUCAUGAAAUCUUCAAAAUAAAUCUUUUGUUCACUCGAUUGAUUUUAUUUUGGACUUGGAGGCUUGCAGAUUCACGUCUGCUCCUCUUAAAUUUAUUAGCUGGAUCUCGGUGAGCUCGGUUCCACUCGGCGUGAUAAGUAUCACUCGCUGAGGACACUGUAAAAGGUGGCCGGGAUUGCGGAUGGACCGCUUCUAAUAGUCCAUUGACUUGGACAAUAAAUACUUUAUGAUCUGAUCUCAAAUCAGGUAGGACUACCCGCUGAACUUAAG
rnacentral:misc_RNA from 1 species